rnacentral:rRNA from 1 species
GACGAACGCUGGCGGCGUGCUUAACACAUGCAAGUCGAACGGUGACGAGGAGCUUGCUCCUCUGAUCAGUGGCGAACGGGUGAGUAACACGUGAGCAACCUGCCCCAGACUCUGGGAUAACAGUUGGAAACAGCUGCUAAUACCGGAUACGAGACGGAGAGGCAUCUCUACCGUCUGGAAAGUUUUUCGGUCUGGGAUGGACUCGCGGCCUAUCAACUAGUUGGUGAGGUAAUGGCUCACCAAGGCGACGACGGGUAGCCGGCCUGAGAGGGCGACCGGCCACACUGGGACUGAGACACGGCCCAGACUCCUACGGGAGGCAGCAGUGGGGAAUAUUGCACAAUGGGCGAAAGCCUGACGCAGCGACGCCGCGUGAGGGAUGACGGCCUCGG